rnacentral:sRNA from 1 species
UCGACAUAGAGUAAUAAUCACAGCGUUUGUUACCGGCUCUUGACAUUUACGGAUCCUCAUAUCUUUCUUUCUCAGUUUAUCAACAGCAAAUGCAAGCUAUUUCGAAACAGUCAACUUGUCCAUCCACUUGUUUAAAGACAAUCUUUCUCGCCUUGCUCCCCUCCAUAGCCGAGUAAUACUCGUGCCCCCUGCCUCUAGCUCUCAUCUAUUGGCGGUACCCAUUGGAGGGGUAUACAAAAGACCAUUCCGGAGGCUCGUUUAUGUCUCAUACUCUUUGAGUAUGGGAUAGAUUGGGGGGCCUUGACUCGGGUUUAGGACAUCUUCAUCAUGGACUCAAAGGAUUUUUCUCUUAUGCAUGCAUCCACAAUGCCUUUCAUUGAGGCACGGCACAUAACAGUCUG